UGUACCCUACGGGGGGCAGCAGUGGGGAAUAUUGCACAAUGGGGGAAGCCCUGAUGCAGCGACGCCGCGUGAGUGAAGAAGUAUCUCGGUAUGUAAAGCUCUAUCAGCAGGAAAGAUAAUGACGGUACCUGACUAAGAAGCCCCGGCUAACUACGUGCCAGCAGCCGCGGUAAUACGUAGGGGGCAAGCGUUAUCCGGAUUUACUGGGUGUAAAGGGAGCGUAGACGGCGAUGCAAGUCUGAAGUGAAAGCCCGGGGCUCAACCCCGGGACUGCUUUGGAAACUGUAUGGCUGGGGUGCUGGAGG
rnacentral:rRNA from 1 species